UACGUAGGGAGCAAGCGUUGUCCGGAAUCAUUGGGCGUAAAGCGCGCGUAGGCGGCUCGAUCAGUCUGUUGUGAAAGUCAAAGGCUCAACCUUUGAAUGCCGAUGGAUACUGUCGAGCUAGAGUCCGGAAGAGGCGAGUGGAAUUCCUGGUGUAGCGGUGGAAUGCGCAGAUAUCAGGAGGAACACCGGUGGCGAAGGCGGAUCUCUGGGCCAUUACUGACGCUGAGGAGCGAAAGCGUGGGGAGCGAACAGG
rnacentral:rRNA from 1 species